rnacentral:rRNA from 1 species
CGCGAAGAACCUUACCAAUCUUGACAUCCUUUGACCACUCUAGAGAUAGAGUUUUCCCCUUCGGGGGACAAAGUGACAGGUGGUGCAUGGUUGUCGUCAGCUCGUGUCGUGAGAUGUUGGGUUAAGUCCCGCAACGAGCGCAACCCUUAAACUUAGUUGCCAGCAUUUAAUUGGGCACUCUAGGUUGACUGCCGGUGACAAACCGGAGGAAGGUGGGGAUGACGGCAAAU